GGAGCAAAUAACGUCUCGCGGGGACGUGUCGCCACCGCACUCCGUUUCUUCCGACACCUUUUCUGCCUCCAUGUGGCCUAUGGACGAGGGUUCCAUUACGCCGACGGGCGCGGGCGCGGCUGCCUCGCUGUCGGCCGCGCUGGGCGUUGAAGACGCGCUCACCCGCCGCGACGGCUCCUUGCGUGCGUUGACGGCACAGCUGCACCAAGCACGAGCUGAGAGGAGCCGCGCUUGUGACAGUCUUGCGGCAUUGCAGGCGCGGCUUGACGACUACCAGAGCCUGCAGGAGCAGUACGAUGCGCUGCUACAGAUGUACGGCGAGAAGGAGGAGCAACUGAGCGAGGCGCGCCUGGACCUCGCCGACGUCACCGCGCUCUACAAGGCGCAGCUCGCCGACCUCGUCACUCUGAGACAGCAGGCCCGGUAGCCAGUCGCCAGGUAGCCGCCCACCAGCAGGCCAGGUAGCCGCCCAUCGCCAGCGCUUCGAGACCAACAUUUGGCAAGUGCUGAGAAGAGAAGAACCGCCCACCAGCCCCGCCCAUGCAGGCAUACAGCCGGUUUGGAGAUCUCCAAACUACCAUUAACUAUGGUUCUAUAGUCUGGUCCGUGAGCAUGUAGAAUUUUGUCCAAUGACCCCUAGCUACCCAUCCUUAUCGCUCGCGC